AUGCCGGCCGGCCGACGGCGCCGUAUAAUCCUUAAUCUCCCGAGUGUUGGGUGCCCACUUGGCACUUGCCCUCCUCGUAGGCUGUUCUCACGCAGAGAUUGCAUCGACGGUCAAGGUGGGAAUGAUGCAUUUUUUGUCAAUGGUUUCUCUAGUUGGAAUAAGAAAUACAGAUUGGAUACUCAUGUGGGUGAGGUUAAUAGCUAUCACAAUGUAGCUGCUAAAAGUGUCCUCAAGUAUGUAUCAAAAGAAGGCAAGAAAGAUUCGAAGAAAAGUGAAGCACGUGGUCUUCUAUCAUAUUUUGGAACCUUUGAUUUUGUGUUCUAUUUGCACAUGAUGUUCCAUAUAUUAGGGAGUGCCAACACUCUGUCACAAGCAUUGCAACAAAAGGAUCAAGAUAUCUUGAAUGCAAUGUCAUGUGUGAAGUCAACAAGGAAUGAUCUACAACAACUAAGAGAUAAUGGGUGGGAAUCACUUUGGGAGAAGUUUGAUGACAGAUUCAAUGAAGUAAAUUCUGCAUUGCUUAUUCACAUGGCUUCUUUCAACCCAAAAAACUCUUUCGCUGCUUUUAACUUGGAGAGUUUGUUGAAGCUAGCUGAGUUUUAUCCUGAGGAUUUCGAUUCAUCAAAAUUGAUGGAUCUUGGACAUGAACUUCGGAUUUACAUUGACAAUGUCCGAGCAGACCAAAGAUUUGCCAAUUUGGAUGGCAUUGUGGAUCUUGCUAAAAAGUUGGUGGAUACUAAGAAGCAUCUUGCUUUCCCUUUGGUGUAUCAACUUCUAAAGCUAGUGCUAAUUUUGCCGGUUGCCACAGCGUCAGUGGAGAGAUGA
rnacentral:rRNA from 1 species